UCCCUGGUGGUCCAGUGGUUAGGACUUUGUGUUUCCACUGCAGGGGAUGUGGGUUCAAUCCCUGGUCGGGGAA
rnacentral:tRNA from 1 species